rnacentral:SRP_RNA from 1 species
GGUCCUUCCGCUUUCAAAUGGAAAGUGGCCAACCCCGCCAGGCCGGGAACGGAGCAACGGUACGUCAUGGAACGUUGUGAGAGCAGGGGGGCCGUU